UACGUAGGUGGCAAGCGUUGUCCGGAUUUACUGGGCGUAAAGGGCUGGUAGGCGGCCAACUAAGUCCGACGUGAAAUCCCAAGGCUUAACCUUGGAACUGCGUCGGAUACUGGAUGGCUUGAAUUCGGGAGAGGGAUGCGGAAUUCCAGGUGUAGCGGUGAAAUGCGUAGAUAUCUGGAGGAACACCGGUGGCGAAGGCGGCAUCCUGGACCGAGAUUGACGCUGAACAGCGAAAGCUAGGGAGCAAACGGG
rnacentral:rRNA from 1 species